AUUGAACGCUGGCGGCAGGCCUAACACAUGCAAGUCGAACGGUAACAGGAAGACGCUUGCUUCUUUGCUAGCGGGUGGCGGGCGGGUGAGUCAUGUGUGGGAAACUUCCUGCUGGAGGGGGAUCACUACUGGAAACGGUAGCUACUACCGCAUAACGUCGCCAGCCCAAAGAGGGGGACCUUCGGGCCUCUUGCCAUCGGUUGUGCCCAGAUGGGUUUGGCUAGUAGUUGGGGUAACGGCUCACCUAGGCGACGAUCCCUAGCUGGGCUGAGGGGAUGACCAGCCACACUGGAACUGAGACACGGUCCAGACGCCUACGGUAGGCAGCAGUGGGGAAUAUUGCACAAUGGGCGCAAGCCUGAUGCAGCCAUGCCGCGUGUAUGAAGAAGGCCUUCGGGUUGUAAAGUACUUUCAGCGGGGAGGAAGGGAGUAAAGUUAAUACCUUUGCUCAUUGACGUUACCCGCAGAAGAAGCACCGGCUAACUCCGUG
rnacentral:rRNA from 1 species